CCUACGGGAGGCAGCAGUGGGGAAUAUUGCACAAUGGGCGAAAGCCUGAUGCAGCGACGCCGCGUGAGGGAUGACGGCCUUCGGGUUGUAAACCUCUUUCAGCAGGGACGAAGCGCAAGUGACGGUACCUGCAGAAGAAGCACCGGCUAACUACGUGCCAGCAGCCGCGGUAAUACGUAGGGUGCAAGCGUUGUCCGGAAUUACUGGGCGUAAAGAGUUCGUAGGCGGUUUGUCGCGUCGUUUGUGAAAACCAGCAGCUCAACUGCUGGCUUGCAGGCGAUACGGGCAGACUUGAGUACUGCAGGGGAGACUGGAAUUCCUGGUGUAGCGGUGAAAUGCGCAGAUAUCAGGAGGAACACCGGUGGCGAAGGCGGGUCUCUGGGCAGUAACUGACGCUGAGGAACGAAAGCGUGGGUAGCGAACAGGAUUAGAUACCCUGGUAGUCCACGCCGUAAACGGUGGGCGCUAGGUGUGGGUUCCUUCCACGGAAUCCGUGCCGUAGCUAACGCAUUAAGCGCCCCGCCUGGGGAGUACGGCCGCAAGGCUAAAACUCAAAUGAAUUGACGG
rnacentral:rRNA from 1 species